rnacentral:pre_miRNA from 11 species
CUGUGCAUGGCCCCUGUCCAAGGCUCUUUUCACAUUGUGCUUCUGUCUGUGCCCGACCCAAGCAGUGCAAUGUUAAAAGGGCAUUGGGUGGGUGGCUGCAGCAGC